CAAUGACACGGGGAUGAUGGAUGACGCUACCUGAUAGCUGCUACCUGAUAGCCUACUUCCUUCCGCUCAGCAUCUAAACCCGCAGCUCGGCUGUCACAUGGAAGUUAUUUGAAUGGAAAAGCAGUAAGAUAGUUACUGGUUUGAUGAGAGAGAAGCAUGCUCUGCGGUACCGGAAGGAUGUUAGAGGACAUGUGGGACGGUACCGGCUGGGAGGGUAGGAUUAGGGGAUUUCUAUUAAUAGUGGAUUUCAAUCAAUAGUGGAUUUCAACCAAUAGUGGAUUUCUAUCAAAAGGUAAUAUCUAUCUAAAGGCGAUAUCUAGGAAUAGGUGACCUCGACUCGCAGGUUCCAGGGUUUCCCCACAGCCCCCAGGACGGAGACGGACCCCAGCAGCAGCAGAUCCCCUGCAGCAAGGAUCCACUGACGGACUUGAAUUAACGCAAUAAGCAGUCAGGUCCUCAGUCUGUUGGCGCUGGUGGAUGCUGCGGUUCUUUUGUCUCAACAUCGCAACAUCGCAUCUGCCCAAUGAAGGACACAGACUGCAAACUGAGAGCGCAACACUCUUGAUUAGCCGGGGGGUCGUCAUCGCGAUCUGCCCCGAGUCGAGACCAGCUGCACAUCUUGGACCGACUUCCUAUUGGGACGCGAAUGAGCAACCAGGCAAAGCGACACCAAUAAGGCUUAGCGUGCUGCUGUUCGCUCCAUCACAGAUCGGGUCCAGCGGUUGUGAUCGAUCCAGCGGUUCUGUGAGCAGCAGUUGUGUGAGCAGAAGCUGCAGCAGCAGAGCAAUGGAGACGGAGAAGCUCGAGCAGCAGGUCGCGAGCGUGGAGCGGGGCAUGGCCUUAUUGAAGCGGGAGCACCUGGCCAUGCUCGCCGGACUACAGAUUGAGAUCAGCCGCCUAAAGAGGCGAUGCAGUGAACUCAACUGUGAGUUGGACGCUCGGUUUCCAGCUGCAGAGGAGUGUGUGCUGGUCUCGCGGUGCCAGGCGUCGGAGCGGCUCCUGGAGCAGCAGGCGUGCGCGGGGGCCAGCGUGCGCGCCGCCCUGCGGGCGCGGCAGGCGCGGGCCUGGGCCCUGGGCCGCGCCCUGCGGAGCGACCAGCGCCGCUUCCUCGAGGAGCUGAAGCGCCGCAGCCACCGGAUCACGGCGCUGGGCCGCGAGCUGCAGCGGCAGACCCUCACCUCCACCGCCCUGGGACAGCAGCUGUACCUGCAGCGCGGGGGGCUGGUCGCAGGGG
ensembl:lncRNA